rnacentral:sRNA from 2 species
GCUGCAGAAGGUAAGGUUUGCACAUAUUUCCAUGUGCACGUAUAGAUGUGAAAAGGUCUACGGAGUAUGCAUCUGCCAAAUACCAGAGAACACUUCAGACACCUCACCGGACGAUCUUCUGCUCCACAGCAUUGGUGUAUGAUAUUCAAACAGGAUGCCCCUGCGCGGUUCGGAAUUGCAAAUGGUAAAAGUAUGGACGAGCAGGCCGAGUUCCAAACUCCAGUCCUCGCGUGGGAGAGUUGAAUUUAUUCGCAGAAGCUUUUUACGGUGGAGGUUAAAUAAAUCACUUGUUCAGGGGCUUGACACCUAAAAGCCCCCUGAGAAGUUGGGUGUCGACCCCAUAAUAAUGAUAUCACCAACC